GGUGAGAUGGCCGAGUUGGUUAUGGCGCCAGGUUAAGGUUCUCCUUAGCACAUUCUCCUGGUCACGAAAGUGGCGUGGGUUCGAGUAUGUUACCACACUUGCACAG